rnacentral:rRNA from 1 species
UACGUAGGGGGCAAGCGUUGUUCGGAAUUACUGGGCGUAAAGGGCGCGUAGGCGGCACGACCAGUCGGGAGUGAAAGCCCGGGGCUCAACCCCGGAGGGUCUCUCGAUACUGUCGAGCUAGAGUGCGGAAGAGGCAACCGGAAUUCUCAGUGUAGCGGUGAAAUGCGUAGAUAUUGAGAAGAACACCAGAGGCGAAGGCGGGUUGCUGGGCCGACACUGACGCUGAGGCGCGAAAGCCAGGGGAGCAAACGGG